UUCGUACUGUGUUGCGAACUCGGCAAACCCGAUUCGUUGGUACCCGCAUAAGGGAUCCGACCCGACUGAAUGAACCGGUGGUUGCAAUGGUAGUUGUGUGCACCGACGGAUGUGCUGAUAAGCAUCGUGCAAGUUUAAAUGUGGAAUACAGAUUUGAAAUGAAUGACCCUAUGUUUGGAGGUAAGAAUUUUUCGACGACAUGGUCCAUCGGUGGAUAGGGAUCCUUGGAGCCAGGAGACUAUCGACUACAGGAUCAUCUGUUCGAUGCAGUGACGAAUUAACCUGGGCCCAACUUCCACUCCGCCUCAAGCCUCCAAGGUGCUUGAUAAGCCACUGCGUAGACGACGACCAUUCCAUUACGACAAGGGACCUCCACAACGAAUCUUCAAGUCCUUUAGACAACGAUGCCUCCUCCAUUAUUUGGUCUCUUGGUAGAUGUAGCUUAGGAUGACGAAAUUCUAUUGAGAAAACAAGGUUCUUUUGGAUGUUAAAUUUUCUUUAUACGUGAAGGUGUUUGCAAGACGAUUAGAAUAAAGCCCCUCACAAGUCAACAUACCGCUUCAUAAGCCUUUGAAAUUUUUAUUUUUUUUAGGUUAAUUUUAUUUGCGAUAUUCAAUUGCGUUUACAGUUCCGGUUACAUUCCUUACAGCUAAACUUAAUUGUAGGAAAGCACAGUGUGGUUAAUUUGC